UACGAAGGGGGCUAGCGUUGCUCGGAAUCACUGGGCGUAAAGCGCACGUAGGCGGAUUGUUAAGUCAGGGGUGAAAUCCUGGAGCUCAACUCCAGAACUGCCUUUGAUACUGACGGUCUUGAGUUCGGGAGAGGUGAGUGGAACUGCGAGUGUAGAGGUGAAAAUCGUAGAUAUUCGCAAGAACACCAGUGGCGAAGGCGGCUCACUGGCCCGAUACUGACGCUGAGGUGCGAAAGCGUGGGGAGCAAACAGG
rnacentral:rRNA from 1 species